GGUCAUUUGGAGAGACCUGAGUCCCGGAAUCAUCUAUAUUUCACCUGUCCUUUUUCAGAGGUCAUUUGGAGAGACCUCACUAAGAAACUUUUGAGGCAGAGCUACUCAAACAUUUGGGGUCAGGUUCUUGCUUUGCUAUCUACAAAUACUAUCUCAGGAGAUACCAAGUUUCUUCUGCGAUAUGUAUUCCAACUCUCUGUGCAUACCAUUUGGCUUGAGCGAAACGGGAGAAGGCAUGGCACGGUCAAUCGUUUCCCAAGUCUUCUUAUCAAGUUCAUCGACAAGCAAGUACGGAACCGAAUCAGUUCUUUACGUGGACGAGGAGGAACAACUUUCAACAAAACAAUGGUGGUCUGGUUUUCUACUAGAGACUAGGCUGCUGUGAUUUAUGAAUGUUUCAAAAAACUAUCUCUCGUAUUAGACUAAAGUUGCACUAGUUGUACAAAAGCCUUUUUUGAUUUGAAUAAAUUUAACAUUCUUUCCAAAAAAAGACUUUGUAUAUGUGUGUUCUAAACUUAUAAUAUAUGCUGAAGAGACAUUAUUUCUCGUCUCAAAUCUAAUAUCCAUCCAACUUUUGAUAGGUGUUGUAAAAGCAUCUCUAAUUUACCUAUAUAUUUAUAAUAACAUUUAGAAGUUAAAUUGUUCAAAUUUAUUUCUAUUUUUUCCUCUAUUUAUAGAAAAUACCAUUUGUCUAUUUUUACUAUUUAUUUUGAAAUUUUUAUUUUUUAAAAAUUAUAUCAGAACAAAUCUCAUUUAUAUUAUAAAGUUCUUCUAUUUCAGAAAAUAUUAAAAUACAUUUUAUGUAAAUUGUUAUUGUUUUUAAUGUAAUUUUUUGAAAAAAAAACAAACAGAAAAAAGAACAAAAGCACAAAAAUGAUUUAGUAAUUAACUACUUAGAUUACUUAAAUUAAUUUCCAUAUAUUUUGUAUUUGCAUUGAAUCACACUAUAAAACUCAAUAAAUGAAAUCUACCAUUUGUUCUAUAAAUCAAUUAAAUUCAAUUCACUUGUGUAGCAUUUAAUAAAAAUAACAAAAAACAAUUAUAAAAUCUAACUAUCACAUCACACAAAAGUUAUUAGCUAGUAAUAGUAAAAAAAAAAAUAUUUUCUCUUAUUUUUUUCUGGAUUUAUCUUUUGUUAUGUAUAUAUAGAACGAGAUGUAAUCUGGAUACUGUUUCCAUCCAUCACUCACUAGAAGUAAGCUAGCGAGUGCGAUUCCGGAGCGCGAGCCAUGCGCCGGAGACUGAACACAAAAGAAAACGCAAAGCUUCAUCCUUUUGUCUUUAAACCCCGUCCUCUUUUGUCUUUAAACCACCGAUUUUUUAAGAAAGAUCAACAAGACUUUUACCUGAGAGCCUUAAAACUAGACACGAAGAAACAGAUCAGUGUCUUGAACUGUAUAAAGAUGGAACAUAUCGAAAAGACUAGAACGUUUCACAGAAGCUAAAUCGAAAAGGUAGUGAGAAGGAGUACAUAAGAAUGACAACUAGAGCAAGAAGCAGAAGGAAGCCUAGAAGAAACAGAUACAUCUUUUGGAGGAGAAUAGGUGGUAUAAUUUUGAUGACAGUAAUAUAUCACAUGUAAAUGAGGAUUAUGUGAAGUCAGGUGCAGUUUAUGUGCUCUUCUACAGAAGAAGUCUCUGAUGCAGGUGGAAACAUAUACUUAGCAUGGGAACAUAAUCUUCUUAGUUUAGUAUCCAUGAAAUAUAAUUUUUCUUUGGACAUUUACACUUUUUAACAUGUUAUAUAUAUAUAUAUAUUUAAUCUUGGUUUGAUAAUAUUAUUAACAUGUCCUCAAUCAAAAGGAAGAAAAUAUCACAUAUAUGUGAAAGUUAAUUUGAUAUAUUUCUAAAUUCAGUAAUUAGCAUUCUUAUAUAAAAAGUUCAUUCAUAUUAUAUUCAAUUAAACUUUAUAAAGUAAUACGAUUGGUUACAUUAUUCUUGUUAUAUUUUUCUGUAACAAACGAUUGGUUACAUUACUGGACAUGACAAAUGAGAUUCAGAAUCUAUACUAUCUAGGGAAGGGAAUAGAGAACACAUCCUAAACCAUACACUUGGAAUGCAAGGGAAUAGUUAUCAACUUAUCAUCUUAUUGAAAAAGAUUCUUUGACCAAAACAUUUUACGUUCCUUUCUUGAAUUGUUACUAUCUUUUUCUUUCUCUCUUUGUCGGCUCAGUCAUUAACAUAAAAAGCCCGUUAAUAACAAUACAAAUAACAUUCGGAAAAUCCAAAUUUUCACAAUAUACAUUUGAUAAACAUCACCAAAGAAAGAUAAAAAAAAAACAAAACAAGACUUGGACUACAACUAGUGAAAUAUAUUUCUGAUAUAUUUAAGAGACGACCCCAAGCCAAUAAGAUUGCCAAAUUGCUCAAAUUCUCUGCCAUUUUCAUCAAGAAAAAGAAAAUCAAAAGACAAUAACUUUGUGCAGACCCAAAGGUUUGUGUGUGGAAAUGAAAUUGCUGGAGGGUGAUUAGAUGACCAUUUGGAUUUGUUGCCCUCUUUCUUUUCCCAUUUCUCUUUAUUACCAAAAACGCACCCACACUUUUGACCCACAUCCACUUUCUUUAUUUUUCUUCCUAAAUGUUCUAUCAGAUCAUGCGUUUCUUUUAAACCCACCCUAAAACAUAUAUUAUCUUGAGCUUAAUAUUUAUGUUUACACAUAUAUAGACACACAAGUCUCUAUGUAGAUAUAUAGUCCCAACAUUUUUGACGUUUGGAUUAUUGGAUAGUUCAUUAUAUCUGAUGUACUGGAAUUCUCUAAUUUACAAUUAUAUUAGUCUAGUAUACAAUUAUAUUCGAGUAAAAUCCUAUAAUCUAUAGUUUUGAUAUGAAUAGUGACUAAAUGCGCACUGAGUGAACAUUAAUUUUUUUGCUUCCACCGAGAGAUAUGAUAAAUUGGUAAUCGUUACGGCUUUGAAGAUCAAUGAUUAUCGAACAAUUAUGAUACGAAUUUAUAUAUCAAAACAAAUAGUAAAAAGAUAGAAAAUGAUGUGGAGAUAGACGCCCGACAAUAUGCAUGGUUCAGCUCGAAUUUGGUAUUUGAAUCAUUUUUUUUUUGCUAAAUUAUAAAGCUGAAAGUUAUUUAAUUAGAUUUUCGAAUGAUAUUUUACGUUAAAAAGUCGGAUAAUCUGCCAGACUGUGUCAGAGGGAAUUUGUGUAGCAUAUAGUUCCCCAAUCGCAAAGACGUAUUAUAUUUGAUACUGUAACUAAACCAUGAGUUAUCGACACGUUUCUCCGAUGCAUUUACAUCCACAUUCGCAUGACACAAAAGUGAACCUUUUCAUCUGUAUUUACAUUUUCAAUUUAUUUAUUUUCUAAAUAACUUUAAACUUUUAUAUGUCUAAGUAAUCGUUAUUCAUAUUUAGGUGAUAAUGCAAAUCAGAAUUUCAUCUUUUACAUAAUAGGGUUUAUAUAAAACUAAAGAUAUGGAGCCUUAUUUAUAAGAUGAUUUAUCAAAAUGCAUAGCCUACUAUGAUAAGUUCAAUAUACACUUGGUCUCUUAAUUGUUUGUUAAAGUUGAUAUGUAUCCAGCAGCAUAGGAUAUACCGAUAUAAAACUAGUCACUUAGGACUCAAAACCCAAUAUUUCCAAACUAAUAUAUAGACAAGUAAGCGCGAGACACGUUUUUAGAUAUGUAUUGAAUUUUUAGUUUAAAAAUAAUGGAAAGAACCUCCAUUAAAAACGAUGUAAAUCAAGUGUCUUAGGGAUGGAAUCAUUAAACUUUUUUCUGAUUAGUUUGAAAUGAAAAUAUUCAUAAUAAUAAUUCAUAUCAGUUCUCAUCAUAGAUUAAUAUGGGACCUAGUAUAUUACAGUUGAAUCUAUCUAAUUAACCUAAUUAAAUUUAAGAUACGAAUUGCACAUAACCUUCCACACAACUAAGUAAAGUAGCCACUAUUGUCCCUUAAAGUGGCAAGAAUGCAUAUUAUAUAUAAGAUAAUGGAUGUUCAACUACUUAUAAAUUAUAAUUGAAGGGGUUGAGACAUAAAUUGAUUCUAGAUGCAUAUCUUUUUUUUUUUUUUUUUUUUGGUCAAACAUUACUUCAUUAACUUAAACGUUUAGAACUCCAUUAGAAGAGGAGGUGUUACAACAUAGGAAGGCAUCACAAGCCAAAGAGUUUGCCAUAACAUAAGCACAACAACAAGAUAAAUGAGCAUAUAAAGCAACAAAGGAAAAGAUAAGGGAUCGAAUAGCGAGUAAGAUCCGGUGAACAUCGAAUGACCAACUCUCUGAAAGAAGGUUAGUGAGUUCUUGACAGUCUACCUUGUAGACAAGCUUAGAGAUACCCAUUGAUAU